GGAAGUAGAAGUCGUAACAAGGUUUCCGUAGGUGAACCUGAGGAAGGAUCAUUAGUGAACGCCCUCACGGGCUUAUAACUAUUCCAAACCUCUGUGAACCGUGCCCUUCGGGGUUAUUUUACAAACAUGGUGUAAUGAACGUCAUAUAUCAUAACAAAACAAAACUUUCAACAACGGAUCUCUUGGCUCUC
rnacentral:misc_RNA from 1 species